ensembl:lncRNA
AUGUUAAGGAUCCAAAACUUGAUCCAGAGGUCAUUUAGGAUACUACAGCAGAAUCAUAUGUCCAGUCCUGGAUUCAUCACUGAAAAGAAGAAACGGAAGAACCAAAACUGGCUUAGAACGAUCCUGACUCAAUUUUGGAAGCAGAGCACCAUCGGGAUACUGUUUUCUAAGGAAGAGGCCAGAAUGGCUCUUGGAUGGGUACCUGCCACAGGCCCUUCAGUUGCUCUGGAAGUUUUUCACUGUGUAAAUAAUACUGCCUUAAACAGUCUUUUGCAUAAAGAUUUUCCCACAUUUAAAAUGGUCUGCUGGAUUCCCCUGGUGGUCCCGUGGUUAAGAGUCUGUCUACCAGUGAAGGGGACACAGGUCUUGAUUCCCAGGCAGGGAAGACACCACAUGCUUCAGAGCAGCAGUGCCCAUGCGCUUCAUCUGCUAAAGCCUGCAUGCCCUAGGCCUGGGCUCUGCAACGAGAAGCCACUGCAACGGGAGGUCCUGGAGAAGUCCCUGCUCAGAGCAACCAGAGGAAGCCUGCACAGUCACAAAGACCCAGCAUGGCAAAAAAAAUUAAUUUUAAGAAUAAAUAAAAAUAAGAUGGUGUCCUUAGUAAGGUGGUUGGACACACACACAUACACAAACACACAUACAGAUACACACACCUCAGUGUUCCCUCAAGUGCCAUGUUUUAUCCUGGGAAUUGAGGAUGGAGGCACUAAGUCAGAGGAAUUAUCUGCAUCUCAGUGCCCCGGAGCUGCGCCCGCCCUCUGGCUAGCUGUCACAGGUCUCUGUCUUAGCCGAUCACCUGGAGUGUGUGAGUGGCUGGCCAGGGUUAACAAUUUUUGGCUGUGUGCCUUGGGACAGACUAUUAUCAGCUGAUAAAGACAAUCUGAUUACUUCCAUAUUUUCCCUUUUCUACUUUUAUUUUGGCUUAUCCUUGGAAUAUUUUUUGAGCUCUAGUCUAGUCUAGUCAAAACACUCCAGCCAAUCCCAACCUCAGAGUGCAAAAACCCAACUUAAACAAUUUAGAACAAAACCUUAAGUCAACCAACAGACCUGAUUUUUCUAUUAGCCACUUCUCUGGAAAUCCUCCAACAUGCACUUUAAAUUAGGGACUGGAUUAAACCUCACUGCUGCCCACCGGGAGCUGCACCAGGAACCAGAUUUAACGACCCUCGACCAUUAGAUUCCCAGAAGUGAAAUCUGUUGGUCAAAUGGCAUGAUAAUCAUUGAGUUCUGUGUUAGUUAGGAUAGGUAUUGCCAGCUGCGAUAGAAGAGAAACUCUAAAUUCCGGUGACUUAACCUAGUAGAAAUUUAUAUCUGGUGCACAUAAAGUCUCAUCAGCAGUUCUUGGCCUAACAGCCUUCCAGGUGGUGAUUCAGGGACCCAGGAUCCUUGUCUCUUGUUGCAAUCCUCCAAGGAAGAUCUAUGGCCCCACAUCCUCUCCAUUCACCUAGUGCAUAGGGAAAGAAUACAUAGAAUUACGCAUGGGACCUGGAAGUGCACUCACCAUCUUUACUCACCUUCUAGAGGCCAGGACUCACUCAUGUGAACAUACCGGUGCGAGAGAGGCCAGGCGAGGGAAUCUAGUCGUGUACCCAGGAGAAAAGGAAUAAUCUACUACUUUUGUCAAAGACACCUACCCGUGCCAAGUGCUUUAAUACAUUACUUUGUAUGGUGGGUAUUAGAUCCCUGAUUUAAUGGAAGAGAAAACUGAGACUCAGAGGGGCAAAAUAGUCCCCCCAAGGCCACACAGCUAAUAAGUGACAGAAUAAAACUAUCUUCUACAUUGUCCGUAAUACCUUUCAGAUUUAGGUAUUUAAUCCACUUGGAAUCCACCUUUUCAUUUGCUUUAAGGUGGGGAUCCAGUUUCAUAUUUCUCCAGUUUUUCUCAAACCAUAUGGUAGAUAAUUUUUUACAACACCUGAUGCGAUAAAUCUUUUUUCAAAAGGUUUAGGCUGAUUUACAUUCUUAUUGUUGUGCAAGAGUGCCAGUUUCACUUCACCCUCUUUAACACUAGGCAUUAUUUUGAUUUUUAAAAUCAGUUCUCUUUGAAGACAGAAAAGUGGUUACAAAUUUAUUGGACUGCCAAUGAGAUUGCUUUCUCCCUUUUAUCCCCAAAUAUACUUCUUCCUUUGUGAAUUAUUUAUUUGGAUUCUUUUUUCAUUUGUCUAGUAGGGUCUGGCUAACUUCCUCAUCUCUCUCCAUACAUAUAUACACACAUACAGUAUGAGUUCUUUAUAUAAUAGAGAUAUGAUGCCUUUCCAGGCAUUUUGACUGCAUACAUUUUCCUGUCCUUUUUUAUGUACAGAUGUGCUACAUUUUUCUGUAGUCAAUUCUGUCCAUCUCUUUCUUUGUGAUCUUCUCUGAUGCAUCUAAGUUUAACCAGCCUUUUCUCCCUAGAGGUCUGAUAAAUAUUCAGAUCUUUUCCCCUCUAUGGUUUGAUUUUUUAAAAAUAUUCAAUUCUUCAGUACAUCUGGAAUGCAUUUCAGCCUGUGGUAUGAUACAAAAGGUUUAUAAUUUGCAAGAGGAGGGAGCCUCAUUUACACUUGCAAGUUUCCUUCUCUCCCU